rnacentral:lncRNA from 1 species
AAAGAAACUAAAGGAUAUUUUUUCUACCUUGCUGAAGAAUAAAAAUUGUUUGACAGCAAUAAGAAAAUUUUUUUAGAAAAAGAGUUCCUUGGUAAAGAAACUAAUACCUCUAAGGUUGAACUUGAUGAAGUUUAAUAGGUAGAAGGACCAACACAGAUCAGGGGGAAUAUAGAAUCGGAUUUGAUUAGAUCAAAUCUAGAGCCCAUUGUUGAGGCACCUUUAAAG